rnacentral:lncRNA from 1 species
AUCCAGCCUUCCACUCUCCCCAGCACGAGUCAGUCCCUCAGUUUCCCUUAGGCCUGCUCAGUGGCUUGCAUCACGUCAAUGAGAUGCACUGACUACGAAGUUGCUCUUUUACUCAUCAUCACCUGCUCCUGUCUCUUUUAUGUAAAGGCAGCCAAUGCUUUUCUUGCCCAGAGGAUCAGCAGCAUUAACUCCAUAAGUGCUCUGUGUGAAGCCACAGGCGCCGAUGUGGAAGAGGUGGCAACGGCUAUCGGGAUGGACCAAAGAAUUGGAAAUAAGUUUCUAAAAGCCAGCGUUGGUAAAUAAAAUGUUCCCCACAUAUUUCUCUAGUAAAAUAGGUUACUAACCAGGUUCAUGGAGCCUCUUUAUGGAAGAUUUGGUUUGUUUGUUUUUUUU